GCUCGUGUCGUGAGAUGUUGGUUAAGUCCGCAACGAGCGCAACCCUUGUCUUUAGUUACCAUCAUUAAUUGGGGACUCUAGAGAGACUGCCGGUGAUAAACCGGAGGAAGGUGGGGAUGACGUCAAAUCAUCAUGCCCUUAUGGCCUGGGCUACAAACGUAAUACAAUGGCGUAAUACAAAGGGAUGCGAAAGGGCGACCUGGAGCAAAACUCACAAAGUACGUCUCAGUUCAGAUUGGAGUCUGCAACUCGACUCCAUGAAGGCGGAAUCGCUAGUAAUCGCGGAUCAGCAUGCCGCGGUGAAUACGUUCUCGGGUUU
rnacentral:rRNA from 1 species